AAGUUGAUUUGGUUGUGGAAAUUUAAUCGUGGUUGCAUUGAGCCCAUUCAUUUCUUUUUGUUAAGCCCAUAAUUUUAGCCCAUUAACCAUUUUCCAAAUUUAUCCAUUUUCUAAACAUCCAUUCAAUAUCCACAUUUGUCCAUAUUUCAUCUUGAUAGACCAUUUUCAAUAGCCCAUUAACCAUUUUCCAAAUAAUUCCAUUUUAUU
rnacentral:lncRNA from 1 species